AGAGUUUGAUCAUGGCUCAGGAUGAACGCUAGCGGGAGGCCUAACACAUGCAAGCCGAGCGGUAUUGUUUCUUCGGAAAUGAGAGAGCGGCGUACGGGUGCGGAACACGUGUGCAACCUGCCUUUAUCUGGGGGAUAGCCUUUCGAAAGGAAGAUUAAUACUCCAUAAUAUAUUGAACGGCAUCGUUUAAUAUUGAAAGCUCCGGCGGAUAGAGAUGGGCACGCGCAAGAUUAGCUAGUUGGUGAGGUAACGGCUCACCAAGGCGAUGAUCUUUAGGGGGCCUGAGAGGGUGAUCCCCCACACUGGUACUGAGACACGGACCAGACUCCUACGGGAGGCAGCAGUGAGGAAUAUUGGUCAAUGGGUGCAAGCCUGAACCAGCCAUCCCGCGUGAAGGACGACUGCCCUAUGGGUUGUAAACUUCUUUUGUAUAGGGAUAAACCUACCCUCGUGAGGGUAGCUGAAGGUACUAUACGAAUAAGCACCGGCUAACUCCGUGCCAGCAGCCGCGGUAAUACGGAGGGUGCAAGCGUUAUCCGGAUUUAUUGGGUUUAAAGGGUCCGUAGGCGGACUUAUAAGUCAGUGGUGAAAGCCUGUCGCUUAACGAUAGAACUGCCAUUGAUACUGUAAGUCUUGAGUAUAUUUGAGGUAGCUGGAAUAAGUAGUGUAGCGGUGAAAUGCAUAGAUAUUACUUAGAACACCAAUUGCGAAGGCAGGUUACCAAGAUAUAACUGACGCCGAGGGACGAAAGCGUGGAGAGCGAACAGGAUUAGAUACCCCGGUAGUCCAA
rnacentral:rRNA from 1 species